AUUGAACGCUGGCGGCAGGCCUAACACAUGCAAGUCGAGCGGAUGAAGUGAGCUUGCUCCUGGAUUCAGCGGCGGACGGGUGAGUAAUGCCUAGGAAUCUGCCUGGUAGUGGGGGAUAACGUCCGGAAACGGGCGCUAAUACCGCAUACGUCCUGAUGGAGAAAGUGGGGGAUCUUCGGACCCCACGCUAUCUGAUGAGCCUAUGUCGGAUUAGCUAGUUGGUGGGGUAAAGGCCUACCAAGGCGACGAUCCGUAACUGGUCUGAGAGGAUGAUCAGUCACACUGGAACUGAGACACGGUCCAGACUCCUACGGGAGGCAGCAGUGGGGAAUAUUGGACAAUGGGCGAAAGCCUGAUCCAGACAUGCCGCGUGUGUGAAGAAGGUCUUCGGAUUGUAAAGCACUUUAAGUUGGGAGGAAGGGCAGUAAGUUAAUACCUUGCUGUUUUGACGUUACCAACAGAAUAAGCACCGGCUAACUUCGUG
rnacentral:rRNA from 1 species